rnacentral:tRNA from 1 species
GCUAGCGUAGCUUAAUCUAAAGCAUAACACUGAAGAUGUUAAAAUGAACCCUAGAAAGUUCCACGAGCA